CAGUCGCCGCGGUAAUACGGAGGGUGCAAGCGUUAUCCGGAUUUAUUGGGUUUAAAGGGUCCGUAGGCGGAUCUGUAAGUCAGUGGUGAAAUCUCACAGCUUAACUGUGAAACUGCCAUUGAUACUGCAGGUCUUGAGUAAAUUUGAAGUGGCUGGAAUAAGUAGUGUAGCGGUGAAAUGCAUAGAUAUUACUUAGAACACCAAUUGCGAAGGCAGGUCACUAAGAUUUAACUGACGCUGAUGGACGAAAGCGUGGGGAGCGAACAGGAUUAGAUACCCGUGUAGUCCCUGUCUCUUAUAC
rnacentral:rRNA from 1 species